rfam:Canis lupus familiaris chromosome 28, whole genome shotgun sequence.
AGGAGGAACAACUGCAGUGGCGGGGCCAGCUCUGGAGCCGUGGAGUCAGCCCCCCCGGAGUCAGCACUCUGGAGCUCUCGGUCUGCAGGGCCUGGAGGCCCCGGGGCGGG